AUGGCUGUCGUCAGCUCGUGUCGUGAGAUGUUGGGUUAAGUCCCGCAACGAGCGCAACCCCCGUGUUCUGUUGCCACCCAGAUGUAAAUCUGGAGCACUCUGGACAGACUGCCUGGUUUCAACUAGGAGGAAGGUGGGGAUGACGUCAAGUCAGUAUGGCCCUUACGGCCAGGGCUGCACACGUACUACAAUGCCUGAUAUAAUGGGAAGCAAGACCGCGAGGUGGAGCAAAUCCUCAAAAUCAGGCCCAGUUCAGAUUGUAGGCUGCAACUCGCCUACAUGAAGGAGGAAUCGCUAGUAAUGCCGUAUCAGCUACGACGGCGUGAAUACGUUCCCAGGCCUUGUACACACCGCCCGUCACAUCAUGAAAGUCGAUUGUACCCGAAGUCGCUGAGUUAACCGCAAGGAGACAGGCGCCGAAGGUAUGGUUGGUAAUUGGGAUGAAGUCGUAACAAGGUAGCCGUAGGGGAACCUGUGGCUGGAUCACCUCCUUUCUAAGGAGAAUAACUGUGGUGGCAUAAGCCAUCACGAGGUCGAACCAAGAUGCUUGCAUCUUGGCAGGGCUCGGACCUUAUUGUGCAAUUCAGUGUUCCGAGAACGGUGUUCUUUUGACAAGAUAGCUUUGCUCCGGACGGACUCGUUCGGUGAUAAGUAGUUCAAAAGGGGCUGUAGCUCAGUUGGUAGAGCGCCUGCUUUGCAAGCAGGAUGUCAGGAGUUCGAGUCUCCUCAGCUCCACCAGCUAAAACAACCGGUCGGGCCUGUAGCUCAGUUGGUUAGAGCGCGCCCCUGAUAAGGGCGAGGUCACUGGUUCAAAUCCAGUUAGGCCCACCAUCCCGGAUUAUUUUUUUGGCGACAACAGAACAAGUCGCUAAGGUUCUUUGACAACUGUAUGCAGUGAUAUUGCGGUAGAAAAUGCAAUACGCUGAGAAUUAAUUUGGAUAUUUUCAAUUUAUUGGAAUUACCAAGUUCUUUUUGUGAUCAAGCUACUAAGGGCACGAGGUGAAUGCCUUGGCUCCAGAAGUCGAUGAAGGACGUAGUAAGUUGCGAUAAGCCACGAGGAGCGACAAACACGCGCUGAUCCGUGGAUUUCCGAAUGGGGAAACCCGG
rnacentral:sRNA from 1 species